rnacentral:rRNA from 1 species
GCAAGUCGAGCGGAUGAAGGGAGCAUGCUCCUGGAUUCAGCGGCGGACGGGUGAGUAAUGCUUAGGAAUCUGCCUGGUAGUGGGGGAUAACGUCCGGAAACGGGUGCUAAUACCGCAUACGUCCUGCGGGAGAAAGUGGGGGAUCUUCGGACCUCACGCUAUCAGAUGAGCCUAGGUCGGAUUAGCUAGUUGGUAGGGUAAAGGCUUACCAAGGCGACGAUCCGUAGCUGGUCUGAGAGGAUGAUC